CUUCCCCGACCUCAUGAACAUGGCCGAGAAGCUCAUGCAAGAGGGGAAGGCUUACGUGGACGACACGCCGAGGGAGCAGAUGCAGAAGGAGAGGAUGGACGGGAUAGAUUCCAAAUGCAGGAGCCAUACCAUCGAGGAGAAUCUUAACCUCUGGCGAGAGAUGAUCGCUGGAAGCGUGAGAGGGUUGCAGUGCUGCGUCCGCGGGAAGCUGGACAUGCAAGACCCCAACAAAGCCAUGCGUGACCCUGUUUACUACCGUUGCAACCCUAUGUCUCACCACCGUAUAGGGGACAAGUACAAGAUCUAUCCGACGUAUGACUUCGCUUGUCCCUUUGUGGACUCCAUCGAAGGGAUAACGCACGCGCUUCGGUCGAGUGAGUAUCAUGAUAGGAAUGCUCAGUACUAUAAGGUUUGAGGGGAAGGCUUACGUGGACGACACGCCGAGGGAGCAGAUGCAGAAGGAGAGGAUGGACGGGAUAGAUUCCAAAUGCAGGAGCCAUACCAUCGAGGAGAAUCUUAACCUCUGGCGAGAGAUGAUCGCUGGAAGCGUGAGAGGGUUGCAGUGCUGCGUCCGCGGGAAGCUGGACAUGCAAGACCCCAACAAAGCCAUGCGUGACCCUGUUUACUACCGUUGCAACCCUAUGUCUCACCACCGUAUAGGGGACAAGUA
rnacentral:lncRNA from 1 species